GAUGAAGAACGUAGCGAAAUGCGAUAAGUAAUGUGAAUUGCAGAAUUUAGUGAAUCAUCGAAUCUUUGAACGCAUAUUGCGCCCGCCAGCACUCUGGCGGGCAUGCCUGUUCGAGCGUCAUUUCAACCCUCAGGCCUCGCGUCUGGCGUUGGGGCGCUGCGGCCCUCCCGCAGGCCCCCAAAUUUAGCGGCGGAUUCCCCGCGGCCCUGAGCGCAGUAGAGAGUAAAAACUUUAACGCUCCGGCGGCCGUGGCGCGGUUCUGCCUCUUUCCCAAUAGCGCAAAUAGCGCCACCCCCAAAAAAGUUGACCUCGGAUCAGGUAGGACUACCCGCUGAACUUAAGCAUAUCAAUAAGCGGAGGA
rnacentral:misc_RNA from 1 species